GGCCCCGCCCCUCAGGGGGACCGCACGCUGCCCGUCAGGUACAAGGCCCCGCCCCUAAGGGGGAGCGCACGCUGCCUGUCAGGUACAAGGCCCCGCCCCUCAGGGGGACCGCACGCUGCCCGUCAGGUACAAGGCCCCGCCCCUAAGGGGGAGCGCACGCUGCCUGUCAGGUACCAGGCCCCGCCCCUCAGGGUGACCGCACGGUGCCCAUCAGGUACUAGAGAUGCGCGGAUGGGCUAUUAUUUCAAACGCACAAACGCAUCAUCCAUCCGCCAUCCAUCUGCACCAACGUUUUUGGACCAAAUUUCCAGACCGCACCCGCCCACCAUCCGCAGGUUGCUUUUAUACGGCAAAGCAAGGCACUGCUGACGCGAGGCUAGAAAGCUCUUGCGUGUUCUUGAAAGGAGACUGAUCCAAUGCAGCAAAGAUAUUGCAAGGCUAAACUCCCUAGUAGGAUAGCCUAUUGGCUAUGUUGUAUACCCAGAAGAUCAUCUGUCUCCGAUCGAAACAGGGACAAAAAUAAAUAAAUAGCCUAAAUAAAAGCACAUAGGCGAACCUGACCUUAUCCGACUAGGCUGUAAAAUGGUAUCAUUGUAAUAAAAAUCUUUGUAAUUUGGAACACCAUUUCAACAUGCUGCUAUUUAGCCUACUAUUUAAGCUAAUGCCUAUUGCACUUUAUUUUUUGUAAAAAAUAAAGAAAGCCUAUAAAGUCUACCGCCCAACAAUGCAACAUGCAUGUUCAAUUUUUUUUAUUGUAGGCCUACAUAUUAACCCCAAAACUUGCCUGCUUGCCUUACAAAUCAAAAGAAAUUGACUAUUUUUCUUUCUUAGCUGUGGAUGUUAUUGAGCUACAAGUUGAACUUGUUCUGAACAUCUCGCGGUGCCAUUGCCCAAUGUCACUUCUGAGUCAAAUCACUCCAUAAUCUCUUUUAAAUUCCUUAUUCCACGAGUGGUAAUUUUACAAUGAAUUUUAAAAUAAAACUACUAUCGAAACAAAAUAACCCAGGCUGUAUCAUCUUGCUCAAUCACUUUUCGUCUAUCCUCUUCUACCAGCAUUUUAAGGGACUUGAAUUUCGGGUGGAGAAAUUUAAUGAGUAGCAGUAGGGCACAUCUUCUCAUCAAGCAGGGCAGACGCGCGAUUAGCGAAGACUUUUCAUGUAAGGUGGGUCUACAGUCUUGGGCUCACAGUGUGUUUUGAGCUUGGUAAACCGGAACAACACCAUGUAAAUGGUUGGGUAACGUUCACCUUCAAGCUUGUUGAUUGCUAACUUGAAAAGGGUGAGAAAGUCGAUCAAGUGUGUGAGUUGACCCUGGUGGAUACCAUCAAGGCGAUGUUCUUGGUCUCUGUUCUUUAGCAGCUCUCUUAUUUCUUGGUAUUGUUUCAGUAUCGAUUCCAACAUAGUGACUUUACUGUCCCCCCACACUUCUUCAGGUAUGCAACAAGCUCUUUGCAGUAAUCUAUCAUGUCCACUACAUCCUCAAUGCUAUCGGAAUCGGUGCCCGGCAUCAUUUCUUUUCAGGGUAGGGUCAAAUUCCACACUACACUAUAUCGAACGGGCGCAUAUCAAGAGGGCACAGGUCCGCACAUGCAUCUGUCAGCUUUGAUUUGACAUCCUGUGGUACUCUAUGUGGAUCUCGACGGGCGAAACUUGUCAAGGUGUUUGUGUAGGUUUGGGGUUUAGCACACUUGUGAUGCACCAUGUUAGACAUACCCGUCUUGUGACUGUCAUGAACUUAGACAGCUUUGCAGCCUUUGCAAAUGACAUAGCCUGCACUGGUGUCAUCCUGAUUCACCACUUCAAAGUUAUUCCAGGCAGCACUAUUCCGACCUUCUUUUUCCUUGGUUUUUAGUUCUCCCUUUUUGAGCCUUUGACGUACUACCUUCACCUGCACUGCCAUCUCUGCUGAUCAAGUGUUGAUCAGCAGAGAAGUAUUCUGCCAAAGACGUUGACGUUGCUUAGCAACCGAAGAAGCUGGGGUUGACAAGUUACCGGACUACUUGCGGAGUGAUACCUAAGACGUGAAUAGAGGCAAAAAAUCCUCUUCCCUUCACAGCGGUCUGCUUAGCAACGGUGAAUUAUCAAAAAUAAUUCACCGCCGGCAGAUGUGAAAGGGCCAAUGCAAGUGAACGGAGCGUUCCACAGCAUUGAAAAGUAAAAAUAUAGAAGAAUAUAUAUAAAUAUAUAGAUAUAAGAAUAAACAGAAAAAUAAAUAUUUUGAUUUUGAUUCGUCAAACCGCCAAUUUAAUGCAAAUAUUAUUUUUUGCCACGUCAUCAGCCCGAUCCGCAGUUUAGCCGCGGAGUCCGCGGCUGCAACCGCCAAUCGCGCAUCUCUAUCGGUACCAGGCCCAGCCCCUCAGGCCCUGCCCCUCAGGGUGACCGCACGCUGCCCAUCAGGUACCAGGCCCCGCCCCUCAAGGCCCCCUGUCCGGUACCAGGCCCCGCCCCUCAGGCCCCCUGUCAGGUACCAGGCUCCGCCCCUAAGGUCCCCCCGUCAGGGACCCCGGGCCCUCAGGGCCUCAGUAGCUACAGCUCCACUCACGCUGGAGGCGCGGUUUACUGAAUGGACAAACACUUUUUGCGUUCCUCAAAUAGCAGCCCUGGAGCUAUUCUAGCAGAAGGCCGGUGUAAUCAUUUGUUUUCCCUUCUCACCCUGCUUGUGAUGGAGAUGUAUUCCCCAUACUGCUCUGUGUAUUGUCUUUGGAGUGAAGGGCAGAUAAGACACUUAUCUCCAGAGCCCCAUGCUUCCAUUGUAGUCUGGUGAGAGAGUGUAAGAAAGGUUGUUAUUUUCAGCUGAAAUGUAUUGGUGCAGCUGUGUUUUGGUUGCGUCAAAGGAAGAAAAUACUCCAGAUUUGGGACCAUAAAUCAGGAGCUUCCCAGCAGACGGCUGGUAGGUAGAGUACACAAAACACACAUCUGAGCUGUCUUAUUUUUUGUAUUCCCGUAUUUCUCAGAAAAAUUAAAAGUUUGUCGUGUCCUGGCAGGAACAGAUUAGGAAAAGGAUGCAAUUUACAGAAACAAUUGGCAGUGUUUGGUGCUGUCCCUAAAGUAGCAGCCUAGCCACCGAGCAGAAAGCCCUGCCGCCUGUCUGCACCACGCUCAUUGACAUUCAGGCACUCCCACCAGGGAACCAGCCAUUUGGAUACUAACAAGGCGCCGUGGGAUGUGGUUGAACAUUUGCAUUAGCUGGGUAGACUGUGGGGAAUAGGUCUGGUGCCAACCCACCUGCUGGGCUGUACGCCACGAGUGGAGAGCAGAGGAAACAUAGCAGUCAAGAUGCUAUCCGUAACUAAAAAUAAAAAAUAUCUCCAUGACUUCAAAGGCGUGGUCGGUUGUCCAUGUUAAUACUAUGUAUUAUGAAUUCUGUUGUCUGCUUUGUUAGAGACACUUUGUGAGCCCCAUGACAAUUAUCGGUGUUUGUUCAACAAACUCUUAAUGUGUUACUAAUUAUCCCACAGACAACUGAUCUGUUUUCUUUCCCUGCCUUGUUUAUUUUUGAAACACACAUGGGUUGAGUCGUUAUUUUCCAGUCUCCGUAAGAUGUUGUGGUCCGCCAAGCAGCCCUCAACCGCUGCGGUCACAGGAUAUGUUAUCAACCUAAUUUCAUAUGUUUGUGUCGAUGCCGAGUACUUGGAAGCAGAGUA